AACUUGUGUUUGAGAUGAGAGACCAGACCAGUAACCACUUUUCAGGCUAAACUAAACUCACCAUUUUUAAGCUGAGUUUCGAAAUUAGUUUAUUCAAACUAUCCCCAGCCACGACACAAAUUGAAGUUAUUUUAAGCACCUAGUCAAGAAGGAACAACCAUCAUCAUAUUGAGUAAGGUAAAAAUACAUGCAUACUAUAUAUAAAAAGAAAAUUAAUCAAUUAUAUGUUGUCACAAAUAAAUUUAAAAAUAUGUAAGGAUAUCUAAACAAACUAUAAUAAAGACAAAAUUAAAAUUUUAAAACCAACUAAGUUUAAUAUAUCACACUAUUUUCUUAAAACAAUUAGGUGGCCUUAUAAUGAAUUAGAAAGCACUCAUUUUGUUAAGAUAAAAAAGCCCACAGGUACACUUUGAAACUUUUGAAAACUCCAACCUUUUCACCAAUUUAAAAUAAUAAUGAUUGAAAAAAAAAUCAUAAUUCUUGAUAUCAUAUAGAAAUUGCAUUGAUUAAGUAUUGUAUUUUCAUUAAUAAUUUUACAGUGUUAGAAUAUAUAGUUUUUGAAUUUAUAGUCUUUGAAUAUAUAGUUUGAAUAUUUGUUAGCUAUAUUAUUGUUAAACAGUUGUAAUCCCAUAUUUGUAGCCUUACGUUACAACACUUGUAUAUAAGCUAAUCGAUGGAAUAAAAAUAAAGGGGAUUCAAUUCUUUCAUGGUAUCAGUUGUUUAGGGAAACACCUCUAUCAUUGUUCUCUAUCUCUCUUUUACUCCCUUUCAAUGGCCAACUCCAAAAUUCACCCCGCCACCACCGUCACCAACAUCAAAACAGUUCCCUGUUGUGCUUGACAUGGAAAACGACCAAUAUAUAAAUUGCUCUACUCUAUUCAAGCUGCAUUGUCGUGCUCAUCAGGUGUACGACCACAUCGUUCCAUCAGAAUCUACAGAGACGCCGGUCGGCAACUCCUCCAUAGUUGUUGAAAAAGCAGUUGCAAAGGCUCUUUUGGAUAAGCUAGAUGAUAUAGUCCUUCAAUGGAUUUAUAGCACAAUAUCUACUGAUCUCCUAAACUCCAUCAUUAAUUUGGAUGAUAAGGUCAAAGAUGCUUGGAAUCGCUUGGUGGACAUAUUCCAAGACAAUCAAAAUUCUCGUGUCGUAUUUCUCGAGAUUGAAUUCACUGCUACUCAUCUUAGUGAUUUUCUCAAUGUCUUAGCCUACUAUAACUGAUUGAAGGUAUUGGCGGAUCAAUUAGCAAACGUAGGUGCAAAAAUCUCGGAUCAAAGAUUGGUAUUGAAACUUGUUGCUGGACUCAUCGAAGCCUACAGCGGCUUUGUCACUAUUAUUCAACAACGUGACCCUCUUCCUUCCUUUUCCAAGGCUCGUUCAAUGCUCUGUUUAGAGGAGAAAAGAAUACAACAACGUGCCCAACGUGACUCGGGUUUGACCUCGUCUUUGCUUGUAACUUCUUCUACUGAUAAUUCUGUUUCUUCUGGACAGUAGGAUAAUCGUAAUAAAAAUGCAAGCAAUAAUAAUAAUCGUGGCAAAAGGAACAAUUCCCGUGGCCGAGGUCGAGGAAGGAAUAACAAAAAUUAUCGCGGUGGAGGCAACCAGCAGCAGCAGCCAUGGCAGCCACGUCUACAAGAAGGGCAACCUCAAUGGACCUACCCGCUAUGGAGUGCGUGGAUCCCACAGCAGCCAUGGAAAACCCCACCUUGCCCGUAUCCCACCACUCUGUGGCAGCGACCACUUGCAGCAAGGCAACAAGGUGUUCUCGGUUCCCGUCCCCCACAGUCAUUCUACACUUCCACCGCACCUCCUAGUGUGGCAUCAACCGAUGUUGAAGCGGCAAUGCAUACUCUCUCGAUUAAUCAACCGGAUGAUGAUUGGUAUACGGAUACCAGGGCAACCUCCCACAUGACUGCAAGCCAAGGAUUUACGGACGAGGAGUCCCCUAAUGAGGUGUGAAAACUCAAGAGAUCUCUACCCAUUCACCAAAAAUCAGGCCAUUCCAUUAACUUGUUUUCCUUAAGCUUUGUCAUUUCUCCUCACGUGUGGCAUUCCCGUUUAGGCCAUCCGGGAAAUGUAGUUUUCAAUUCUCUUCGUCGUAACAAAUUCAUUGCAUGUAAUAAAGCCCGAAACUUUUUUUGUCAUUCUUGUCCACUUGGGAAAUCUGUAUAGUUGUCAUUUUAUGAUUCUACUUCUUUUACUACUAUGCCAUUUGAUAUUGUUCACAGUGA